AUUGAACGCUGGCGGCAUGCCUUACACAUGCAAGUCGAACGGUAACAGGUUAAGCUGACGAGUGGCGAACGGGUGAGUAAUACAUCGGAACGUGCCCGGACGUGGGGGAUAGCUCGGCGAAAGCCGGAUUAAUACCGCAUAAGCUCUGAGGAGGAAAGCGGGGGACCGUAAGGCCUCGCGCGUUUGGAGCGGCCGAUGGCAGAUUAGGUAGUUGGUGGGGUAAAGGCUUACCAAGCCUACGAUCUGUAGCUGGUCUGAGAGGACGACCAGCCACACUGGGACUGAGACACGGCCCAGACUCCUACGGGAGGCAGCAGUGGGGAAUUUUGGACAAUGGGCGCAAGCCUGAUCCAGCAAUGCCACGUGCAGGAUGAAGGCCUUCGGGUUGUAAACUGCUUUUGUACGGAACGAAAAGGCGCCUACUAAUACUGGGUGUUGAUGACGGUACCGUAAGAAUAAGCACCGGCUAACUACGUGCCAGCCGCCGCCGUAAAAC
rnacentral:rRNA from 1 species